rnacentral:rRNA from 1 species
GCGAGGUGGAGCAAAUCUCGAAAAAACGUCUCAGUUCGGAUUGUAGGCUGCAACCCGCCUACAUGAAGUCGGAAUUGCUAGUAAUCGUGGAUCAGCAUGCCACGGUGAAUACGUUCCCGGGCCUUGUACACACCGCCCGUCAAACCAUGAGAGUUGGCAACACCCGAAGUCGGUAGUCUAACCGCAAGGAGGACGCCGCCGAAGGUGGGGUUGAUGAUUAGGGUUAAGUCGUAACAAGGUAUC